UGCAAAAUCGUAAGAUGACGUAUACGGUGUGACGCCUGCCCGGUGCCGGAAGGUUAAUUGAUGGGGUUAGACUUCGGUCGAAGCUCUUGAUCGAAGCCCCGGUAAACGGCGGCCGUAACUAUAACGGUCCUAAGGUAGCGAAAUUCCUUGUCGGGUAAGUUCCGACCUGCACGAAUGGCGUAAUGAUGGCCACGCUGUCUCCACCCGAGACUCAGUGAAAUUGAAAUCGCUGUGAAGAUGCAGUGUACCCGCGGCUAGACGGAAAGACCCCGUGAACCUUUACUACAGCUUGGCACUGAACAUUGACCCUACAUGUGUAGGAUAGGUGGGAGGCUUUGAAGCACGUACGCCAGUAUGUGUGGAGCCGUCCUUGAAAUACCACCCUUGUAGUGUUGAUGUUCUAACGUCGACCCCUUAUCGGGGUUGCGGACAGUGCCUGGUGGGUAGUUUGACUGGGGCGGUCUCCUCCCAAAGAGUAACGGAGGAGCACGAAGGUGGGCUAAUCACGGUUGGACAUCGUGAGGUUAGUGCAAUGGCAUAAGCCCGCUUGACUGCGAGAAUGACAAUUCGAGCAGGUGCGAAAGCAGGUCAUAGUGAUCCGGUGGUUCUGAAUGGAAGGGCCAUCGCUCAACGGAUAAAAGGUACUCCGGGGAUAACAGGCUGAUACCGCCCAAGAGUUCAUAUCGACGGCGGUGUUUGGCACCUCGAUGUCGGCUCAUCACAUCCUGGGGCUGAAGUCGGUCCCAAGGGUAUGGCUGUUCGCCAUUUAAAGUGGUACGCGAGCUGGGUUUAGAACGUCGUGAGACAGUUCGGUCCCUAUCUGCCGUGGGCGUUGGAAGAUUGAAGGGGGCUGCUCCUAGUACGAGAGGACCGGAGUGGACGAACCUCUGGUGUUCGGGUUGUGUCGCCAGACGCAUUGCCCGGUAGCUAAGUUCGGAAUCGAUAACCGCUGAAAGCAUCUAAGCGGGAAGCGAGCCCUGAGAUGAGUCUUCCCUGAUACUUUAAGUAUCCUAAAGGGUUGUCGGAGACUACGACGUUGAUAGGUCAGGUGUGUAAGUGCUGUGAGGCAUUGAGCUAACUGAUACUAAUUGCCCGUGAGGCUUAACCAU
rnacentral:rRNA from 1 species